CCCUUAGAUGUCCUGGGCCGCACGCGUGCUACACUGACGCCUACAGCGAGCACUUUCCAGCCCCGAGAGGCGGCUGGUAAUCAGCAAUAGGCGUCGUGAUGGGGAUAGAUCUUUGGAAUUAUGGAUCUUGAACGAGGAAUGCCUAGUAAGCGCAGGUCAUUAGCCUGCGCUGAUUAAGUCCCUGCCCUUUGUACACACCGCCCGUCGCUCCUACCGAUUGAGUGGUCCGGUGAAUUAUUCGGACUGCAACGCGUUCAGCUUCUGGAUGCAGUUGCGGAAAGUUUUGUAAACCUUAUCACUUAGAGGAAGGAGAAGUCGUAACA
rnacentral:rRNA from 1 species